rnacentral:rRNA from 1 species
GGGGGGGGGGGGGGGGGGGGGGGGGGGGGGGGGGGCGGGGUGGCGGGCGGGGAGGUGGCUGCGCGGGCGGGAGCGGGGGACGGGGGGGGAACGCGGGGAGAACCUACCUGUCAGGGUGGGAGAACGUCGGGAAACCGGGUCUGAUACCGGCGAGUAUAUGUACCCUCAAUGCUCCAGAUGGAAAGCCGGCUUUGCUGUCACUGAGAGCGCGACCCGCUCCGCAUUAGCUAGUUGGGAAGGUAACGGCUGACCAAGGCAACGUUGCGUAGCCGACCUGAGAGGGGGAGCGGCCCCACUGGAACGUGGACACGGUCAAGAAUCCUACGGGAGGCAGCAGUAGGGAAUCUUCCGCAAUGGGCGAAAGCCUGACGGAGCAACGCCGCGUGAGUGAUGAAGGUCUUCGGAUCGUAAAACUCUGUUAUUAGGGAAGAACAAAUGUGUAAGUAACUAUGCACGUCUUGACGGUACCUAAUCAGAAAGCCACGGCUAACUACGUG